rnacentral:piRNA from 1 species
GGUCUCUUCUAGAAGUGUCUAUUA